CCUGGUUGUUGGGUUCUCACACUUGUUCUUAUUUUUGCUGACAGCUUUGAGAUGCUGCUCUGAAACCCAGGCAGGUUCUAAAGUUCUGCUCUGAGGAUUAACGCCUGUUUGGCACUUGCAAAUUGAUAUUCAUGCAGUGUUUAGUUCCUCUCCGAAGACAUUUGCUUCAAAUGUGAGUUUUUCAAAUAGGGAAAGUGAAAGAAAGGCUUUUCACUCAGACCUCUCCCAUGAAUAGCAAGCACAGCGUUAGUGAAUCUGAAAGACCACAAAUAUUCUGACACAGUUUGUGAAUAAGCCGUAAUAAAAUUUUGUUUUUGUUUAUACAAGAAAACACAAGUUAAAAAAACUCAAGUCAUCAUCAGCUCAAACCUCCAGAGAUUCACACGCUAAAAGAUGAAUCAACAAAAUUGUGAUAAAAUUUAUUUAUGAUAAAAAUAAAACAGUACUAAUAAAAGUCAUAAUUUAAGCAAAAUCAACAGGUGCAAGUAGAAAAUGUCUGCACACACACACACACACACACGCAUGUCCCUUCCAGCCCCAGUCACACACCUGCUCCCACUUCCCUCCCAUUAUCCAAACCUGCAGUUAAACCAGCUCCUCGUUAGCGUUCGCCUGUCUGGUCCUUGCUCCUUCUUCUCUGUCCGCUCACCUGCCUGCACCUCCGUCUCUGUCUGAUUCUGCUCCCUGUCACCCUUUUAUUUACCACCUACAGGUCUGUGGCUCUGAUUUAGCGUCUUCCUGUGACCUUAAGCUCUGGGGAGGUCCUUUCAGUCUAAUGGACUCCGUUGCUUCACUGAUACGCAGGCGGAAGGUGGCGGGACGAGAGCUGCGCUCCGAUGGCGGAGGUCUGAGUCGAGCAGCGAGGGACCGCGCGCUGCCGUCUCCACAUCAGCCGGAGCCUCCCUCCAACUUCCACAACUCACUCCUGCUUCAGUGCCGAGUGAAAAAUACCCCAGAGCCGGGGGCAACGAAGUGCUGGCGUCGUUUAUCGUAUUCCACGCUCAGAUGUGGGACAUUCAGCAGUCAGUGCAUCUCUAGAGGUUGAUGGCUGAGACGUCAGAUUGAUUCGUUGAGGGAAAGUGCAUCGAAAUGGGUUGUAUUGCAGUUUAAUCUCAUCUAGUCUCCUUUUCCCACGUAGCUGCAAGGACUGUUAAGUAUCUCUACAAUAGUUUGGAUUAUAUAAAUCCUAAUCUAGCAUACAUUUGUUUAGGUAGUAUCUAGACUGGUGUAAGCUGCCUAAAAAUAGAUGUUUCUGCAAUAAAAAUACUAAAAAUAAGUUAUACUGGCA
rnacentral:lncRNA from 1 species